rnacentral:rRNA from 1 species
GGAAGGGGGGGGGCGGGGGCGGGGGAGAGGAGGAGGGGGGAAGGGGUGUGCGGAAUGACGGGGGGGAAAGGGCGCGUGGGUGGCCGGUUAAGGCAAACGUGAAAUGCCCGGGCUCAACCCGGGAACUGCGUCCGAGACUGGCAGGCUUGAAUCCGGGAGAGGGAUGCGGAAUUCCAGGUGUAGCGGUGAAAUGCGUAGAUAUCUGGAGAAACACCGGUGGCGAAGGCGGCAUCCUGGACCGGUAUUGACGCUGAGGCGCGAAAGCCAGGGGAGCAAACGGGAUUAGAUACCCGGGUAGUC